CGAAACCUUGUGAUCUACCCAUGGGCAGGCUGAAGGUCGGGUAAAACCGACUGGAGGGCCGAACGCACCAACGUUGAAAAGUUGGGCGAUGACCUGUGGGGAGGACUAAAAGUGUAAUCAAACUGGGAGAUAGCUCGUUCUCUCCGAAAUAUUUUUAGGAAUAGCCUCUUGCGGCAACUGUUGGGGGUAGAGCCACUGGAUACGGCUGGGGCCUUCGGGUACCCACUGUAACCAAACUCCGAAUACCAACAGCCAAGGCAAGGGAGUCAGCCCACGAGUGACAAUAUCCGUGGACAAAAGGGAAACAUCCCAGACCGCCAGCUAAGGUCCCUGAACAUUGCUUAGUUCUAAAGGAAGUCGAAGCGCAAAGACAGCCAGGAUGUUGGCUUAGAAGCAGC
rnacentral:rRNA from 1 species